AAGCUGAGGGGAGUCGCAGUGACAGGUGGCUGCAACUGUUUACUAAAACACAGCACUCUGCAAACUCGUGAGAGGAAGUAUAGGGUGUGACGCUGCCCGGUGCCGGAAGGUUAAUUGAUGGGGUUAGCUUCGGCGAAGCUCUUGAUCGAAGCCCCGGUAAACGGCGGCCGUAACUAUAUNNNNNGAGCGAAAUUCCUUGUCGGGUAAGUUCCGACCUGCACGAAUGGCGUAAUGAUGGCCACGCUGUCUCCACCCAAGACUCAGUGAAAUUGAAAUCGCUGUUAAGAUGCAGUGUACCCGCGGCUAGACGGAAAGACCCCGUGAACCUUUACUAUAGCUUCACACUGGACUUUGACCUUAUUUGUGUAGGAUAGGUGGGAGACUUUGAAGCGCCGGCGCCAGCCGGCGUGGAGUCAACCUUGAAAUACCACCCUGGUAAUGUUGAGGUUCUAACUCAGGUCCCUUACCGGGAUCGAGGACAGUGUGUGGUGGGUAGUUUGACUGGGGCGGUCUCCUCCCAAAGAGUAACGGAGGAGCACGAAGGUACCCUAAGGGCGGUCGGAAAUCGCCCGUUUAGUGUAAUGGCAUAAGGGUGCUUGACUGCGAGAGUGACAACUCGAGCAGGAGCGAAAGCUGGUCAUAGUGAUCCGGUGGUUCUGAAUGGAAGGGCCAUCGCUCAAC
rnacentral:rRNA from 1 species